ACGCACGCUGGCGGCGUGCUUAACACCUGCCAGUCGAACGGAAAGGCCCUGCUUUUGUGGGGUGCUCGAGUGGCGAACGGGUGAGUAACACGUGAGUAACCUGCCCUUGACUUUGGGAUAACUUCAGGAAACUGGGGCUAAUACCGGAUAGGAGCUCCUGCUGCAUGGUGGGGGUUGGAAAGUUUCGGCGGUUGGGGAUAGACUCGCGGCUUAUCAGCUUGUUGGUGGGGUAGUGGCUUACCAAGGCUUUGACGGGUAGCCGGCCUGAGAGGGUGACCGGCCACAUUGGGACUGAGAUACGGCCCAGACUCCUACGGGAGGCAGCAGUGGGGAAUAUUGCACAAUGGGCGGAAGCCUGAUGCAGCAACGCCGCGUGCGGGAUGACGGCCUUCGGGUUGUAAACCGCUUUCGCCUGUGACGAAGCGUGAGUGACGGUAAUGGGUAAAGAAGCACCGGCUAACUACGUG
rnacentral:rRNA from 1 species